AAUGAUGUGGGCAAAACAAAUGUUAGCAACUGUCUCAUGAAAUCUCACUUUAUCGGGGUUAGUAUGGCUGAGAUCCUUGCCAACACAAAUCUAGAUCAAGAACAAUGGCAGCUAUUGGAUGUUAUGCUAUCUUCUGGAGAUUUGGUUUUGCAACUUAUCAACGACAUUCUUGACCUCUCUAAGGUGGAGUCAGAUUGCUGAUGCUCUUUUACUACAAUGCAACAAUGACACUUGGCAUAUUGCAAAAGCUUGGGGUGGUAGCAGAAGUUUUUAAUCUCUGGUUUCAAAUGCUACAAUAGGUUUAAAAAAAGUGGUUUGCAUGCUAAUUUUAGAAGGGAACAUGAUAAGAAAGUUUGCAUGUUGGGAUUGACUUCACUUCUUGCAUUUCCUGCGGACCCGUUACCCGGAGAAGCACUGGAACGUGUAUUUAGAGCAACACUUGACCUGCUUGUUGCUUACAAGGAUAAGUUGUAGGUACUACUCAUUUCAUUGGAUGUUUUUUCUUUUCUUUUUCCUCUUUCCUUUUCUUUCUACUAAUAAACUCAAAUUCGUAACUGAAAAUCAAUGUGCAUCAUGCUUUCCUUAUGAUCACUCUUUUUUAGUUUUACCUUUUUAUUCCGCUUAUUUUGGGUCUUCCAAGAGGCUCGACAGUUCAUCCCAGCUCAGCUACACAUGCUUUUGACUGAGAUUUGACAAGUAGGGAUAGCCCUACAGUUUUUCCACAUAUUAUGCACAUGUUUCACUUGAAGAAGGUUUUCCAUGUUAGUAUUUCUAGAGUCUUUUAUAGGAACUAUGCAAGUUUAGAACUGCUCCUAGAUUAAUCCUAAUAAAGGAUAGUUAGCUUCUAUAGUCUUUGUACUAAGCUUAUAGAUAGAUGGAUUUUGGUUCAAUGGAUUGAGAUGA